CGUAGGGUGCAAGCGUUAAUCGGAAUUACUGGGCGUAAAGCGUGCGCAGGCGGUUAUGUAAGACAGUUGUGAAAUCCCCGGGCUCAACCUGGGAAUUGCAUCUGUGACUGCAUAGCUAGAGUACGGUAGAGGGGGAUGGAAUUCCGCGUGUAGCAGUGAAAUGCGUAGAUAUGCGGAGGAACACCGAUGGCGAAGGCAAUCCCCUGGACCUGUACUGACGCUCAUGCACGAAAGCGUGGGAGCAAACAGGAUU
rnacentral:rRNA from 1 species